UACGAAGGGCCCAAGCGUUGCGCGGAAUCACUGGGCUUAAAGGGUGCGCAGGCGGACUCGCAAGUAUCUUGUGAAAUCCCACGGCUCAACCGUGGAAUUGCAAGGUAUACUGCGGGUCUUGAGCCCGGCAGAGGCCAUCGGAACUCUAGGUGGAGCGGUGAAAUGCGUAGAUAUCUAGAGGAACGCCAAAGGUGAAGACAGAUGGCUGGGCCGGCGCUGACGCUCAGGCACGAAAGCGUGGGGAGCGAACGGG
rnacentral:misc_RNA from 1 species